AGCCAUUUUUUUUAAUGGAAAAACCUUGGAUAGUGAUUUCCUUAAAAAAUUAGGACUAUGUGUUUAGAAGACAGAGAAUUAACAGAUAUAGAACAAAAUAUCUGUAACUCUGAUGAGUAGAAAAUCAGAGAAGUAGUCCUAAAACCACAUAAGCAGACAAUGAAUUGCAAUCUCCUAGGGGAAGCAGGGGCAGCCAAGAGAAAGAGCUACCAUAUAAGGGUGAGAGUUGACACUGAACAUCGAAGAGAGUUCUACAGUAUGUAGAAGCAAGACAUGAAUAGUAGCUGACAGAGCCUGGAGUUUUGAAAGUGCUGUUUAUCCAGCGGGCAGCUCAGCGCUACAGAACUGUUUCCUGCUGGAGAGAGAAUCAGAAUAAAAAAAACAACAAAGUAGAACACUUGGGUUCAGAUAAAAACUAUUUACUAAGGCAGAAAAUGAAGAGAAAUUGAAAAUAAUGAUAGUAAUGAUAGUAAUAUAUAUAUGUAUAACACAAAUGAUGCACAGCACAAUUACUCACCACCUACCAAUCAAUGCCCAGACAGCCAACUCCUCAUUGUUUUACAAACUUUUUUUUUUUUUUUUUUUUUUUUUUGUAUGAUGCUAUCUGUUAUGUAAUAUCUCUUUGGCAAGUUCAGAUCUGUCCUGGUUCUGUCUCCUGCCAGCUUUCUGUGCCCCAUCAGCUCCCCUUGCUGGCAGAACAGUACAAGAUACUGAAACAUCCUUGGCUCUAUGUAGCCACUCCUCAGCAACAACUGAAGUAUUGGUCUGCUAUAGAUGUUGUUUCUCUCCCAAAGCCAAAACAUCACAUCAUACCAGGCACAAUAAAUAGAAGAAAAAAGAAAAAGAAAAAAAAAAAAUCAACUCUGUCCCAGCUGAAACCAGGACAGAAGGGCAUGGACCUGAUUACUACACAGUGAGAAAAAAUAAAAGCAGAUUUUAUCUAGACCACUAUGUGCCUGGAUAUGUUUAUCUAUGUAUUAGAUAUAAUAAAAUGUAAGCAGAACCCUAUGAAACACCAGCUUAUGCAUAAUGUUUAUUAUUUCAAAUUUGCUUCUGAAAAGUUAACUCGUGUGAGGCAAAACUUAGAGUCAAGGGGUUUGCAAACUACAGGGGUUGUUGCCAGUCUGGAUGCCAGCAACUGAGUCAUGGGUUGUCAGAUCUCAGGCAAGUUGCCUCUAAGGAUUUGGCUCCUGUCCUUGGCAAAGGGCUGUGGACACAGUGAAAUUUGAUUCAAGAACAGUCACAAAAACCUCAAAAGUGUCUAACCAGAACCAACUUGGCUAUGGUUCUAACAGAGUAUUAAUAUCCUCAAGUGACUGAACAAGUAGCGCUGAGGGAGAAAAAAUAAAGGCAGUCUCAUAAGCCAAAGUAAAAACUUGGGGUAGUCUCAGAGAUUAAUACAGUGGCUGACCUUUAAUAUGUCAUUAAAUCAAUCUUCAAGAAAUCAAUUCUCAUUGAAAUCACAUUAAUCUAGCCUUCUAUUCAUCCUACUCUGAGCAACAAUCUUAUUUGCUGCUGUUCUCGGUGUUCUCUGGUGUAACACUUCUUUUGCUUAUUCUGUACAUCUCUUGAUAUAAAUGAGUUUCCCUGUGUAUGUGCACUUUCAAACUCAAGGCUAAUAAGGCAACUGCUUAUUUAAUAGAGACAAUUGCAGUAACUCUUCUCCCUAGAUGUUCUGUGAUGUAUUUCAUGAGGCAUUUAGGGGAGCAGGUAAGUUCAAAUGUCCUCAAUCACAUAUAUGACAUGUAGUUCCCAGUUUUCGUUCAUCAAGACUCCAGAGAAAGAGUGAAGUAUUGUUUGUUUUUUUUUUUCCCUCCAGAUCCAGAGGGCUUAGUAUCUUGUGAUGAUUUCAUGAAAUUGUACUAAAAGAAAGAGAAAAAAGCACAGGCCUCCAAGAACGGUCCAGUUAGUCCAUCUGAGUGAGAUGUGGGAAACCAAAUGUAAUCAUCUGCUGAGUGAAGACUGUAGACUGACAUCUUCGAAUAUCCCUGGCUUGGAGCUGAUAAAUGGAUGCAUUCCUUCAGCUCAUCUUGUUGGCUAUUCUCAGUUCCAGGUACCUGUUUGGAAGAGAAGAAGAACUACGGUCCCCAAGAGCCUUUUCGAGUACUGUUAUCAUUCCUGCUCAAGGGAACAGAUAUAAGGGCGCAGGUCAUCUGACUCGGCCCUCUUCUCAUCUUGCCGUGUUCCCUGCCGGAUCGGCUCGUUACUGCUGCUCCUGACUGCAUGCAAGGCUUCAGUAUUAGCGUGAGGCCUUUGGCUCUCGGACAAUCUUUCUCUCAAUUAUUGUUGAUUUAUAUUGUGUUAUAGUGUGUUAUCUUACAUUCCG
ensembl:lncRNA